GCGGCGGACGAGCGCCCAGUCACCUGUCCGCCAGCUGGCCUUCUGCUGCCACAAGGGAAUCCGGGAACCGGAAGGUUCACCCUGUCACUUGACUACAUAUAGCUUUCUUUGCCGUGGCCUGCAGCCAGGAUAGCUACAAAAUGGACUCCUGAAAAUUAUCGAUUGAAAAGGCAGCUAAAACUUUUAAAGUAUCUCAUAGCACACUGCAAUACAGAUUAAAGAGUGGAAAUGAAUUGGUCCUGAAGAUGGGUGAAAAAUGGAUUGUAGAAGAGUUGGAAAAGGCGAUAAAUUUUGCUGCUGCAGGUUUUUCGAUUAAUAAGAUAGCUGAAUUUCUUAAAAUAUCUUAUAGCAUCUGCAAAAAGGUCAUUUCACAAAUUCGGAAACAGACCAUAUAUUUAUUUGAUUGAUUUGGUCCACGUAUUGAUUUGUAUCAAACAGCACGCAUUGGCUUAUAGAAACAGAUGGCAAGAUAUUGUAUUUGCUUCCACAGAAGAAUUGAAAAUAUUACUC